rnacentral:ribozyme from 1 species
AAAAGAUCCGAAACGGAAAUUCAAAAAAAAAAGAGAAGAUUUUUUUUUUUUUUUUUUAAUUUUUGGGA